UACGGAGGGAGCUAGCGUUGUUCGGAAUUACUGGGCGUAAAGCGCACGUAGGCGGCUUUGUAAGUUAGAGGUGAAAGCCCGGGGCUCAACUCCGGAAUUGCCUUUAAGACUGCAUCGCUUGAAUCCAGGAGAGGUGAGUGGAAUUCCGAGUGUAGAGGUGAAAUUCGUAGAUAUUCGGAGGAACACCAGUGGCGAAGGCGGCUCACUGGUCCGGUACUGACGCUGAGGUGCGAAAGCGUGGGGAGCAAACAGG
rnacentral:rRNA from 1 species